CCUUAUUUGAUCUACUCAUGUUAAGUCAGUGAACUAGAUCCGUAACUAUCAGCGGCCAAACACUUAUGAAACAUUCCACAAGCGCAGCCUUUACAACGGGCACAUUACUAUAACACUAACUCACAAGCUGACUUAACCUUUAGUUGAUAGCGUGUUACAGCAUAACAGCCUACACUAGAGCAGCACACCUGCAUACACAAGCCAACUACAGACACACUGCGAAUCGCAAUGCCGCACUACAUCUAUGU